AUUAAAGUUUAGCACUAUGAUUUUUUUUUUCUUUUUCCUUUUUCUUUUGAAUAUGAGGUUCUUUUGACUCCACUCACUGGUUUGUAUUACUACAGGAAUGUAAAAAACAAACAAACAGAUAGACUAGAGUGCAACAAAGUAAAACUAUGAAAGCGCGUUUAAAGUGCAUAAGAGUAGCUGUGGAUAUGUCCAUUUGAAAAAA